AGGAGCCGUAUGAGAUGAAAAUUUCAUGUAUGGUUCUGCAAUAGGGAUGAGAACAGUGAUGUUCUCAUCUACUAUGAU
rnacentral:ncRNA from 1 species